GAUGAACGCUGGCGGCGUGCCUAAUACAUGCAAGUCGAGCGAACAGACGAGGAGCUUGCUCCUUUGACGUUAGCGGCGGACGGGUGAGUAACACGUGGGUAACCUACCUAUAAGACUGGGAUAACUUCGGGAAACCGGAGCUAAUACCGGAUAAUAUUUCGAACCGCAUGGUUCGAUAGUGAAAGAUGGCUUUGCUAUCACUUAUAGAUGGACCUGCGCCGUAUUAGCUAGUUGUUAAGGUAACGGCUUACCAAGGCAACGAUACGUAGCCGACCUGAGAGGGUGAUCGGCCACACUGGAACUGAGACACGGUCCAGACUCCUACGGGAGGCAGCAGUAGGGAAUCUUACGCAAUGGGCGAAAGCCUGACGGAGCAACGCCACGUGAGUGAUGAAGGUCUUCGGAUCGUAAAACUCUGUUAUUAGGGAAGAAUAAACGUGUAAGUAACUGUGCACGUCUUGACGGUACCUAAUAAGAAAGCCACGGCUAACUACGUG
rnacentral:rRNA from 1 species